UAGCUUGAUUGUUAACAUCUUUAGUAAAAUGAUGGAUAAAAAGAUAAUUUUUAGUUUUCGUGAUUAUAUGAUUUUCGUUCUUAUAUGUGGUAUAAGAACUAACACACAUACGUACCUUAUGGCCAUGUCGACAAGGAUAUCUUAAGAAGACGCCGAAAGUUCAACAGUGACCCAAGGCGAUGGCGAAUUCAGUAAAUGUUUGUGGCGACAUCUAUUCCUCAGAUGCUUCUGACCGAGCACAAGAAAUUCUACAUUGCCGUCAAGUUGCCAGAAUGCGAGUAAGCUUAACAUAGCCUACAAUAUUAUUGUAUUGUUGUACACUCCACAGAAGAUGAGACAAUUUGAAAUUUCCUAAUAUACACGGUUGAAAGAGCCCACGCUUGUGAUCUGUGUCGCAAAGGUCCUAUAGACGCCUAUAAGACGCCUGUAAGGCACGAAAAGUGCGCACCCUUGAAGCCUUGGAUAUGGAAACGACAGGACGUAUUGAGGAUGACGUUAUUGUUAUUAUAUGAUGGUUAUUGGCCUUUUGCUGUUGGCUUAGGCCUUGUACAAAUAGUCUCAGACUUAGUUUUUAUUUGAAAAUAUUUAAUAUGUUUUGUUCUAAAUAUUUUUUGACUCACAAAAUGAAAAAUAUAAGCGAAAUUAUUUUUGAAUGUGAGAUGUAAAUUAACGCUAAGAUGGUGUUGUAGGAAACUCUACCAAGUGUGGUAAAAUCACGAAAAAGGGUUGUAUAGUAGUCUGAUUGACUCAAUUUGAAAAUAUCUAAAUUAUAUAUCACAUUUAAAUGUCAGGUUCAUUGUAGUGCGGGUAGGUAUUAAUUUUCAACG
rnacentral:sRNA from 1 species